rnacentral:rRNA from 1 species
AUGAACGCUGGCGGCGUGCCUAAUACAUGCAAGUCGAACGCACCUAGCAAUAGGUGAGUGGCGACCGGGUGCGUAACACGUAGCCGACCUGCCCCUCAGCGGGGGACAACAGUGCGAAAGCGCUGCUAAUACCGCAUACGCUUGAGCGACUUAGAAACGUUCAAGGAAACUUCCGGGGUUGAGGGAGGGGGCUGCGGCCCAUCAGGUAGUUGGUGAGGUAGCGGCUCACCAAGCCGACGACGGGUAGGGGGCCUGAGAGGGUGGUCCCCCACACUGGGACUGACAAACGGCCCAGACUCCUACGGGAGGCAGCAGUAAGGGAUAUUGCGCAAUGGGCGACAGCCUGACGCAGCAACGCCGCGUGGAGGAUGACGGCCUUCGGGUUGUAAACUCCUUUGGCUGGGGACGAGCAAGGACGGUACCCAGCAAACAAGUCACGGCUAACUACGUGCCAGCAGCCGCGGUAAAACGUAGGUGGCAAGCGUUAUCCGGAUUUACUGGGCGUAAAGCGUGUGCAGGCGGACUGCCAAGUGGUGUAUGAAAUCGCCCGGCUCAACCGGGCGGGGUUAUGCCAGACUGGCGGCCUGGAGUGCGGGAGAGGGACGUGGAAUUCCGGGUGUAGUGGUGAAAUGCGUAGAGAUCCGGAGGAACCCCAGAGGCGAAGGCGGCGUCCUGGCCCUGACACUGACGCUCAGACACGACAGCAUGGGGAGCGAACGGGAUUAGAAACCCCGGUAGUCCAUGCCGUAAACGAUGCCGACUAGGCGCUGGGGGUCUCAACCCCCUCGGUGCCGCAGGAAACCCGAUAAGUCGGCCGCCUGGGGAGUACGGUCGCAAGGCUAAAACUCAAAGGAAUUGACGGGGGCCCGCACAAGCAGCGGAGCGUGUGGUUUAAUUCGAGGCUACACGAAGAACCUUACCCGGGUUAGACAGGACGCCAGUAGGGAGCCGAAAGGCAACCGACCCGCAAGGGCAGCGUCCCAGGUGCUGCAUGGCUGUCGUCAGCUCGUGCCGUGAGGUGUUAGGUUAAGUCCUGUAACGAGCGCAACCCCCGGGUCUAGUUACACGAUGUCUAGACCGACUGCCCGUGACAAGCGGGAGGAAGGUGGGGAUGACGUCAAGUCAGCAUGGCCUUUAUAUCCAGGGCUACACACACGUUACAAUGGCCGGUACAAUGGGUCGCCAAGCCGCAAGGCGGAGCCAAUCCAUCAAAAGCCGGUCUCAGUUCGGAUUGGGGGCUGCAACCCGCCCCCAUGAAGUCGGAGUUGCUAGUAACCGCGGGUCAGCCAUACCGCGGUGAAUACGUUCCCGGGCCUUGUACACACCGCCCGUCACGUCAUGGGAGCUGGUCACGCCUGAAGCCGGUGGGCUAACCGCGAGGAAGCCGCCGUCCAAGGCAGGGCCGGUGACUGGGACG